CCCAGCACUGGAAGAAAAAAACAUUUAUUUAUUUAUUUACUUUUAGUUGACAGGUCGUUUCUGGUGCAGGCAGCUUUCCUGAACACCUUUCCACAGUUUCUGUUUUGGCGCUCAGCAAUGGCCCUUUGUAACUGCGGGGAGCCAGAGACAGCAGACACUUCACCAGCUUGAGCCAUGCGCUGCAGACACAGUGCUAUAUCUCUCCUCCCAGUAGCUGGUCAGGCCAGCAGUACAGACCCUACAGCUUCUUCACUAAAUGAAACCCACCAACAGCUGGCCGACAAGAAGGGUCUCCAUGUGGUGGAAUUCCGGGAGGAAUGUGGUCCCCUGCCCAUCCUGGUCGCCUCCCCCCGGGGGGCCUUGAGGAAGGAUCCCCAGCCAGAAGAGGAGGUUCCCGACAUCAGGCUGGACUGGGAAGAGGUGAAGGCUGCACAGGGAAUGAAGAAUCUGUGUGUUCAGGUCUCAAGAGGGCCGCCACCUGACUUUCCCACCACUGACCUUCCCACCACUGACCUUCUGCCACCUGGCCUCCCCACUGCAGCACUGUGCCUGCUGCCCUAGGCGCCUGGGACUCCCCACUCACCUUGCCAUGUUGCCUGGUUUUGUUUUUGUUUUCUCAGGAAAUUCCAACCUUCUUUACUUGCAUAUAAAUAAUUCUAGUUUUGAUUUAUUGAUCACGUGAUCUAUGCCAGGCAGUGUGACAGGGAUGUUAUGUACUGACCUCAGUUCAAGACUACUUUAAAUACUCCAUGAAACCAGCAAAAGUAAAUGGAGCAGGGAGACAGGAAAAGACCCACCCAGGGGUAAUGUGCACAAGGAUGUGAAGGGCUGUGGUGGCUGUGCCCGAGGCCCACUCGUGCUGGCCCAUCCAUGGGAGGUGACCUCCUGCCCUGUCCCCCAUGGCUGCACCCACCUCCAGCAGGGCCCAGGCUGCCCUGGUGGCAGGAAGUGCCUCAUUGUUCCAACUUGCACAUCAAGUGCCAGCAGCAAGAACCUCUUGUCACACACUUGACACCGCUUGUGUGAUGUCUAGAGAAAUGUCUCCUCACCUCUUUUUGCCCAUUUGAAAAAUUGAGUUAUUUGUGUUUUUAUCAUUGAGUUGUAAAGAUGCUUUAGUAUUGUGGACACAGGCCCCUGUAAGGGUGUGACCCACCAUGUUCCUCCUCCAUGGGCAGAUCAUCAUUUCCUAUUUCUUUUAAUACUUUCUCUGCCCCCAUCCUCCUCCAGUCCUCUGCCUACCCAGGUAGGCCCUUCUCACAGUCCCCCAGUUUAUUGUCUUUAAGACAAUAGAGUAGUUAAAGCACAAUUAAUGCCAACAUGUUUUUUACACAUGUAGAUGUGCAAUGUAUAACAACACAGAGACCAGGCAGGAGUCCUGGAAAUACGCUGUCAUGUGGUUCUUGCAUGGGGUCAUUUGAAGGUGGACUGGUUAAGGUAAAGAUGUGCACUUAACCCUAUUGUAAAGGAGUCACUAGCAUGACACAGAGCUGUAGCUAUUAAGCCAGCAAAGAGAAUGAGAUGCAAUCUUAAAAAUAACUCAUUGUGCUGGUGCAGUGGCACACACCUGUAAUCCUAGCUGCUCAGGAGGCUGUGCAGGAGGUUCGCAAGUUCAAGGCUAGCCUCAGCAACUUAGCAGGACCCUGUCUAAGAAAGGGCUGGGCAAACAUACAAUGCUCUUGAUUUGUUGAUUAUACAUGUCCUUUGAUUAAAGUCCAAACAUAACAAGUCUUUAGAGACAUUUUGUAUCAAAAAAAAAAAAGAAAGAAACUGUGUUCUUUUGCAAGUUGCUAGAUAAUGUAGAAAUUUGGUACAAAAGAAACAAAAUGCAAAAAAUGUGUACAUAUAAAUAGUGAACAGGAUUGCCUGAAGUGUGUAAUACUUGUUUAUUUAGUGUGUGCCCUUGCAGACUAUUUUACAUGUUUGUAUGACAUGACAUACCUGUAUGUGUGAGAGUGUGUAUGUGAGAGAGAGAGAG
ensembl:lincRNA